GCGGCGGACGGGUGAGUAACACGUGGAUAACCUACCUAUAAGACUGGGAUAACUUCGGGAAACCGGAGCUAAUACCGGAUAAUAUUUUGAACCGCAUGGUUCAAAAGUGAAAGACGGUCUUGCUGUCACUUAUAGAUGGAUCCGCGCUGCAUUAGCUAGUUGGUAAGGUAACGGCUUACCAAGGCAACGAUGCAUAGCCGACC
rnacentral:rRNA from 1 species